ensembl:misc_RNA Y_RNA Y RNA
GGCUGGUCCAAAGGUAGUGAGUUAUCUCAAUUGACUGUUCACAGUCAGUUACAGAUCAAAUUUUUUGUUCUCUUCUUUCCCUGCUUCUCAAUACUGCACUUGACUAGUCUUAG